UACGUAGGGGGCAAGCGUUAUCCGGAUUUACUGGGUGUAAAGGGAGCGUAGGCGGCCACGCAAGUCAGAAGUGAAAACCCGGGGCUCAACCCUGGGAGUGCUUUUGAAACUGUGCGGCUAGAGUGUCGGAGGGGUAAGUGGAAUUCCUAGUGUAGCGGUGAAAUGCGUAGAUAUUAGGAGGAACACCAGUGGCGAAGGCGGCUUACUGGACGAUGACUGACGCUGAGGCUCGAAAGCGUGGGGAGCAAACAGG
rnacentral:rRNA from 1 species